AGGGCGUUUACCACGGUGUGGUUCAUGACUGGGGUGAAGUCGUAACAAGGUAGCCCUAGGGGAACCUGGGGCUGGAUCACCUCCUUAACGA
rnacentral:rRNA from 1 species